rnacentral:rRNA from 1 species
UUCGCAAUGCCCGAAAGGGUGACGAUGCGACGCCGCGUGAGCGAAGAAGGCCCUAGGGUUGUAAAGCUCUGUCGAGGGUUAUGAAAUAUAGAUGGGUUAAUACCCCAUUUAUUUGACAAAAGCCCAAAAGGAAGCCACGGCUAACUCUGUGCCAGCAGCCGCGGUAAUACAGAGGUGGCAAGCGUUGCUCGGUAUUAUUGGGCGUAAAGAGCACGUAGGUGGUUUUGUAAGUCAGGUGUGAAAGCCUUCUGUUCAAAGGAAGAACGGCAUCUGAAACUGCAGAUCUUGAGUGUAGGAGGGGAGAGUGGAACUUCUGGUGGAGCGGUGAAAUGCGUAGAUAUCAGAAGGAACGUCGGCGGCGAAAGCGACUCUCUGGCCUAUUACUGACACUGAGUGUGCGAAAGUUAGGGGAGCAAACGGGAUUAGAUACCCCGGUAGUCCUAACCGUAAACGAUGGGCACUAAGUAGAGGGGUUUU